CUUGAGGUAUGUGUGGGAAGCGGAGGCCGAGGACAGCUCUUACGUUAUCAAGGAACAAACUUAUCCUGAGAAAGUGCUCACACGUGGAACACAGACUACUCUUUAUUUGAGAGAUGAUGACAAGUAUGAGUUUACUGACCCUGCAAGAAUUGAAAGCUUAGUUAAGAACUGCUCACAAUUUGUGUCAUUCCCCA